GGGGGAGGGGGGGUUCUCCAGCGGCCAGAAGCUCACUGGCUCUACCCGGGACCCUGAGCUGCCUAGGGCUGGGGGAGGCGUCCGAGCAGUCGCGGAGCCUGCCAGACCCUCGGCUAGAAUGGGGACCCGCUGUCCAGCCGAGGCUGGCGGAGGCGCACCGGGGGCGCAGAGGGCGAUGCUAGUAGUCUGGACCCAAAGGACUGCAGGAAGGAGACCGUGAGGAAGCGUCUGUGCCUGGGAAGCCCCAGCUCCUGCUUGGGCCAGGCAGCCAGCACCUACCUGAUCCCGGGGAACCGGAGUCCGGCGGCGGCAGGUGAGCUGUAGACGCUGCUGUGCAUGAUUAUCCCAUAGACCAGCAGGGCCAGCCUCGCUCCGCUACACAUGGUCAUUCUGCGCAGGAUGGGAAAGAGGACACACAGCUGUGAGAACGCCCCUGGCCUCCCACCCUCCAACCCCAAAAAGCUCUGGAAGCCGGGGGAGGGACGGAGCGAAGCCCCGGCUCCCUGAGUUGAACAGCACUUGGCGACAGCCGGUGCGCGCCCUGCCACUUCUUGCUUGCUAUAGUUAGAAAAAAAUAUAUAUAUAUGCAUCUACCCGGCGCCCAAUAACUAGCCAGACCCGGCUGAAGGAAAGCUAACUCCCCUGACGCGAUGCCAAGCGAAAGAAUCAGCAGUCGAGUGAGCCGGUCGCUUUGUCACGUAAUGAUCGGGUAUCAGAAAAAGACGUCAGCAUCCUAGUCCCUCAAGGAACAUAUUAACUAUUCUGUGCUGUCCUCUUGGAUGAUAAGAUCCGGAGUCAUCGACUUCUCAUAAACACCUUUCACUCAUACAAUCCAAUUUUUAAGAAGUCCAAUUGUUUUGAUGGUUUUCAAUUUCACCCGUUUCUCAAGGACAGGUAAAGAAUUUUUAGAAUUUUGAGGAUGACAAAAGUUAUGUUUUUAACUAUAUAAUUACGAUUUCUCUUUACUUUUUCAUCAAGCCUCACCAAUCAGAGCUCUGGUCUCUGGAAUUAAGCAUCAUCAAGCUCUCCUAUUAAUAAAUUUAAUUUAGAUCUCCUAAUUUCUUGCGUAUGUUCUUUCAGAUAGACCAUUAAAUGUGGAAGUCGUUUUGUUUUUAAAGGGAAGUCUUGGAGGAUUUUCAGUAAAUCUCUCCUGAGUCUGGCUGCCGUUGACAGUAGGGCUAUGAGUAGAUUGAUGAGAGCUCAUGCUGCCUCCGGAGCGCGGCCUGCGGAGCUGUCCAGACUCCGGGUGCUGAAGUGUAGGGUAACAGAUGCUACAAACGUUGAAAAUUGCCACCGGUUUAAUUUUUCACCAGAGCCUCUAAAUUUGAAGAUUUGGCAGUAGUGCUAUUAACGUGGCGAUUCAUCGCCUAAAUCACCCCCACCGUUCAGAUACAUCCUUUCCCUCUUGUAGCGUCCAUAAAUGCCCUAAUGCUGAGAAUGCUCCCCAUCCCUGCCUGGAUUUGAGGAAAAAGCAUUCUGUCCCCCGUUAGUCCUGGCUUUUGGAUUUCUAGACCGGCUGUUUGGCUACUUUCACACCUUCUGUGGCUCUUACAGAUUUUAAAAAUUGAUGUUGUGAAAUUGUGUUUUCCACAAGAAGUGAAAUUUUAAGAAUUUGGGGGCGAGAAAUAUGUUUUUCCACUUUGUUUACAACUUCAGCUCUGUUUGGGAGACACAGACAGACUGGGAAAGCAUGAGGGUUCCCAGUACAAGUUCACCUGAUGAAGGUUUCUAACAGGAAUCCCUCUGCUGGAAACAGUUAAUUUUUUUAACUGAAAAUGAUGUGGGAAGAGGAAAGCAAUAAGGGAAGACCAUAUCCACCCAGAGGCUUCCAAUUUCCUGGGUAAUUGAAGAAGGUUCAUAUAUUUCUACUCCAGUAAGAGAACUCAGGUCUAUUUCUUUAAAAAAAAAAAAAAGAAGAAGAAGAAAGAAAGAAAGAAAAUAGAGCCAUCAAUAACCAUUAGAGUGCAUUUUAAUUAUUUGGAUCUUACACAAAAAUUAGGGGAAAUUCCAGUUUAGUGGGAGGGUUUCCUGUUACUACGAUUUGGAUCUCACAUUUAAAUAAGCUAUAUUAGUUCUGCAUGCUUUUUCCAAGAUAUUAUAUUUCUCCUUCUAAAUGCUGUUCCUGCUCUUAUUUGAGAUUUAAUACUUCCUCCUUCUUAAAAAAAAAAACUAAGUUUUGUUUAUUCCUGGCCAUGAAUGACCGAAAACUGUCUGCUUCCUCUUAGUUUAUUCCUGGCCGUGCUUCAGAUUGUCUGCCUUCAAUAAAGCUUCAAACCACA
ensembl:lncRNA novel transcript, antisense to ADCYAP1